CCUGUCUGUUUGUAUGUAUGUGUGUGUCUGUAUGUAUGUGUACCUGUCUGUUUGUAUGGAUGUGUGUGUCUGUAUGUAUGUGUCUUGUGUGUGUGUGUGUGUGUGUGUCUGUAUGUGUGCCUGUCUGUUUUUCUGUAUGUAUGUCUGUGUGCCUGUCUGUGUGUCUGUAUGUGUGCCUGUCUAGGUGUGCCUGUCUGUAUGUGU